CAUUAAGAAGCUAAAGUAGCAUUAACCUUUUAAGUUAAAGACUGAGGACCUACCCCUCCUUAAUGA